rnacentral:antisense_RNA from 1 species
GAGCUGUCAAGAGAACUUUAUUCAUUGGAAACUGGGCCAGAGACCCCUCAGGAAGCUGCAAGCCCCUGGGCCUUGGCCCCUUCUGUAUUUGGACCCUAGUGAAAUGUGCACAGUCUACCCUCUCCAAUGCCAGGGAGAGACAGAGAGGAAUGCCAUUUUUCUGUGUGAUGUGGGAGUGAAAGGGGAAUGAGCAGAAAUCUGGUUAUCCCUCCUGAGACUCCCAGUGAGCUGGGGUGCCAGAGGGCACGUGGCCCCAAAGUCAGGUGUUAAUGCUGUCCUAGCGUGAGUGUCUGCGUGGAGCAUGGAGGGGUGGGCAGGCAGGGAAGGAGUCUUCAGAGGUAGACAUUGAGGGUCUGCAGGAUGCCCCGGCGGCAGAGCGGGCAGUUGCGGUGGUAGACAGGGUGGCGCAUCAGGAUUUCAGUGCAGGCCUGGCACAGGCACAGAUGCCGGCAGGGCAGGAGCAACACCGUCUUGCUCUGGUCCUGGCAGAUGACACACUUCUUCCGCU